CUGACAUUUUAAUGCUGGAUUUGGGAAUAUCUUGCGGUGUUGCUCUGUGGGAUGUGCUCAGGUGCCCUGUGGCUGGCAGGAGAACAGGGGCUGGAGACAAGGGGCAGCUCUGGCUGUGCUGGAGUGACCGAGGUCACUCCUGGUCCCUCAUCCUGGCGUUUGUUUCUCCGCAGGUUUUGGCGUCUGCCGCUUCAGGAACGACAAAUUCCAUCGGCCACAACCGCCCUGGGACUGUCCUCGUGCCAGAAGUGAGGAGACCAGAGCCUGACCAUGUGCAGGAUUGGGACUUCUCCCCCUCCACCAACGGUCCCGAGCCAGGAGGAUUUGUCUCUGGAUGGUUCCUCUCCCCUGGGAUCUCUGACAUCAUAAACCCUCCUGGACUGCUGUGGGUUUUGGAUGCUCCCUUCUGUUUGGAGCUGGGAAUGGCACAGCUGGGAGGCUGCAGCCCCUGCUCCUCUCCAGCUCCCGUGGAUUACUGCUUUUGGCAUCACUGUGGUGGAACUGGCUUUGACGUGUGACGUCUCCCAAUGGACAGAUGUGGAAAAGCAGCAGUCACAGCCCCUCUUUUUCUGGGCUACUCUGGGCAUCGUGGCUCUGGAGGAGGAAGGAGUCCACGCACACGUGUAGGACAAAUCCUGCUACUUUUAGGGUCCGCGGUGAAGGCUCGGGGUGCAGGGACCCACGAGGGGACAGCCAAGGUGCUGCAGCUCUCACCGUGGCCAGGACAGCCAGGAGCACCCUCCCGAGGAUGGGCACUUCAGCUGCAGCACGGGGAGAGGGACACGGGGACCAGCAGCUCGCCCUGAGCUCGCCAGGGAGCGAUGGAGCAUCGGGGGCUGUGGGAGGUCCUUCCCUCAACACCCCCCAAAACCAGCCCCGAAAGCAGCCCCUGUGCCCUCACUGGGCUCCACAGCCCCUGCCUGCUGAGGGGGGGGUUCCUCCCAGUGCUGACCUCGCUCCCGACUCCCACACAGAUCCGAAGGUCUUAAUUAGCUGCUCUCUGCUGGGCUUUGGAAAUUAUCCCUGUGGGAAGUGCUGGUGAUGGAUGGAUGGAUGGCCAAGUGCUCUGGGGCCGAACAGCAGCUCGGAGCUUUCCUCUGUGAAGGACCCCAGUUCCGAGGAACCAGCUGUGGAGUUUUUUUGUCUUUUUUCUUUUUUACUUUUCUGUUCUUCUUUUUGAUGCCUUUUGGGGUUCUGGGUGUUUUUUGAGGACGGCUGGACCUGCGCUGGAUCCCGCUGAUGCCCACGGUGGGAACUGGAGGCCUUUGGAAGAGCCACAGGGCAGCAGAAGCUGAGUUGGUGGUCGCGGUGCCCUGGGGUUUAAAACUGCCUGGCAGAGGCUCAUCCUGUGCUCUGGGUGUUGGGUGCCCUCAGGAGGGUCUUUGAGCACUCACGUGGAGCCCAGCCCAGGUGGGAUUGGGAAGCAGGAGUGGAGGGAAAUGUCACCCUGAGAAACAAUUAAAUUUCUUAAUAAACCGCCUUGGCUCUGUGAGUGCUGGAUGUUG
rnacentral:lncRNA from 1 species